UCUGUAGUUCUUUGUAUGGUUAUGGUAUCUUGGAUGAGGGUUACAAAUUCAACAUGUCAGUUGAGGAAGCUGCUGAGUUAGCAUGGCGGGCUUUUAUCACGCAAUAUUCUGUGACAGAGCUAGUGGUGGCUGUGUUCCUGGUGGGCUUGACAGACCAGUUUUUAUCCGGAAGAAAGGCCUUUAGUGUGCGUUUGGAUCUGAAGAAACAAAGCAAGAUAUGGCUGUCAUUCCUCCUAACUUGGCUAGUUACUAGUAUCUCCUUGAUCCUUUGAUAAGGUAGUCUUGGCGAGUGUU